AGGACUGAGUUCUCGUUUUCGCCGACCCAAGAAACUUCGCGCUAACCACUCAUGGGAGAAUAUAUGGGUUCCCCCUCGGCUUAGUACUCGUUUCAUAGUUCUUACAGGGCCCACAUACUUCGGGCGUUCCAUUUGGCAUUUGAAUUGCAUGCACACAGAGAUUAGGGGAGACUUGUUGGUGACUUUUUAUACAUAUAGGAUUGCGGCACU
rnacentral:lncRNA from 1 species